GACCUGUAGCACGCGUCCUCCGUGGAAGGGGAGCUCUGGUGGGGACCGCUGGCGCUAAGUCAGAAGAAGGGGUGGUCCACGGUAGGUCAGUAUGCCCCGAAUACCCCGGGCUACACGCGGGCUACAAUGGACAGGACAAUGGGCUACUACACCGAAAGGUGGGGUCAAUCUCUAAAACCUUUCCUUAUUUCAGAUCGGGGGGUAAAACUCCCCCUCGUAAAUAUGGAAUCCGUAAUAAUCGUUUUUCAAAACAGUGCGGUAAAUACUUCCCUGCCCCUUGCAAAA
rnacentral:rRNA from 1 species